CCGCUUCCGGUGUGAGUGGCCGGGCUUGGGGGGGCAAGAUGGCGGCGGCAGUAGGGGUCCGCGGCCGGUGCGAGCUGCCGCCGUGUUCCAGCCCAGGCUGGUUCCUCAGCCUUUCCGCCUUGCUGAGUGUGGCAACUCGAGGGGCCUUCGCCACCACGCACUGGGUCGUCACAGAGGACGGGAAGAUUCAGCAGCAGGUGGAUUCACCAAUGAACUUGAAGCAUCCCCAUGACUUAGUCAUAUUAAUGAGACAAGAAACAACAGUUAACUACCUCAAAGAAUUGGAGAAGCAGUUAGUUGCUCAAAAAAUUCACAUAGAAGAGAAUGAGGACAGAGAUACAGGACUGGAACAGAGACAUAAUAAAGAGGAUCCAGACUGCAUCAAAGCCAAAGUGCCCUUAGGGGACCUAGAUCUGUAUGAUGGCACAUACAUAACUUUGGAAAGCAAAGACAUCAGCCCUGAAGAUUAUAUAGACACAGAAUCUCCUGUCCCUCCGGACCCUGAGCAACCUGAUUGCACUAAAAUUCUAGAACUUCCAUAUAGUAUACAUGCUUUUCAGCACUUACGAGGCGUGCAAGAGAGAGUUAAUCUUUCUGCACCUCUUCUACCUAAAGAAGAUCCAAUCUUCACAUAUUUAUCUAAACGAUUAGGAAGAAGUAUAGAUGACAUUGGUCACCUCAUUCAUGAAGGCCUACAGAAGAACUCUUCCUCGUGGGUACUAUAUAACAUGGCCUCAUUUUACUGGAGAAUAAAGAAUGAGCCAUAUCAAGUAGUAGAAUGUGCAAUGCGAGCACUUCACUUUUCUUCCAGGCACAAUAAAGAUAUUGCCCUGGUCAACUUGGCGAAUGUUCUGCACAGAGCACACUUCUCUGCUGAUGCUGCUGUCGUGGUCCACGCAGCUCUGGACGACAGUGACUUCUUCACCAGCUAUUAUACUUUAGGAAAUAUAUAUGCAAUGCUUGGGGAAUAUAACCACUCAGUGCUCUGUUAUGACCAUGCUUUGCAGGCUAAACCUGGGUUUGAGCAAGCUAUAAAGAGGAAGCAUGCUGUUCUGUGUCAGCAAAAACUUGAACAGAAAUUAGAAGCUCAACAUAGAUCCCUCCAGCGAACACUGAAUGAGUUGAAAGAAUAUCAAAAGCAACACGACCACUACUUGAGACAGCAGGAGAUCCUAGAAAAACAUAAGCUGAUUCAGGAGGAGCAAAUCCUAAGAAAUAUCAUCCAUGAGACUCAGAUGGCAAAAGAGGCACAAUUAGGAAAUCAUCAGAUAUGCCGUCUGGUCAACCAGCAGCACAGUUUACAUUGCCAGUGGGACCAACCUGUGCGCUACCAUCGUGGCGAUAUCUUUGAAAAUGUGGACUAUGUUCAGUUUGGUGAGGAUUCAUCAACCUCGAGUAUGAUGUCUGUGAACUUUGAUGUUCAAGCAAAUCAGAGUGAUAUCAGUGACUUGGUCAAGUCUUCUCCUGUAGCCCACUCUAUUCUCUGGAUCUGGGGCAGGGACUCUGAUGCAUAUAGGGACAAACAGCAUAUUCUGUGGCCUAAAAGAGCAGAUUGUGCAGAAAGCUAUCCUAGAGUCCCUGUUGGUGGGGAAUUACCAACAUAUUUUCUGCCUCCGGAAAACAAAGGACUCAGGAUCCACGAACUCAACAGUGAUGAUUAUUCUUCAGAAGAAGAGGCCCAAACCCCUGACUGUUCCAUAACUGACUUCAGAAAAAGCCAGACUCUGUCCUACUUAGUGAAAGAAUUAGAGGUCCGCAUGGAUCUGAAAGCCAAAAUGCCAGAUGACCAUGCACGAAAAAUUUUGCUUUCCCGUAUUAAUAACUAUACUAUCCCAGAAGAAGAAAUUGGGUCUUUCUUAUUUCAUGCUAUUAACAAGCCAAAUGCGCCUGUCUGGCUAAUACUCAAUGAAGCUGGACUUUACUGGAGAGCGGUAGGAAACAGCACUUUUGCUAUUGCUUGUCUCCAGAGGGCUUUGAAUUUGGCUCCACUUCAGUACCAGGAUGUUCCUCUUGUGAACUUGGCCAACCUUUUGAUUCACUAUGGCCUUCACCUUGAUGCUACUAAACUGCUGCUUCAAGCUUUGGCUGUCAAUAGCUCUGAGCCCCUGACGUUUUUGAGCCUGGGAAAUGCGUACCUUGCUCUGAAGAAUAUCAGUGGGGCACUUGAGGCCUUUAGACAGGCUUUAAAAUUAACUACAAAAUGCCCAGAGUGUGAAAACAACCUGAAGUUGAUUCGCUGUAUGCAGUUUUAUCCUUUUCUGUACAACAUCACUUCUUCUGUUUGCAGUGGUAAUUGUCAUGAGAAAACCCUGGACAGCAACCAUGACAAACAGAAAUAUUUUGACAACUCACAGUCACUGGAUGCCGCUGAAGAAGAGCCCUCUGAGACAGGAACAGAGGAAGACCCUGUGCUUUCUGUUGAGAAUUCAGGGAGGGACUCAGAUGUCCUUAGACUUGAAAGUACAGUGGUUGAGGAAAGCAAUGGUUCUGAUGAGAUGGAGAAUUCAGAUGAAACAAAAAUGUCAGAAGAGAUACUGGCUUUGGUGGAUGAAUUUCAACAGGCAUGGCCUCUGGAAGGCUUUGGGGGAGCAUUAGAGAUGAAAGGAAGGCGUCUGGAUUUGCAGGGGAUACGCGUACUGAAGAAAGGUCCCCAAGAUGGAGUGGCCAAGAGCUCUUGCUAUGGAGACUGCAGAAGUGAAGAUGAUGAAGCAACAGAAUGGAUCACAUUCCAAGUCAAACGUGUAAAGAAACCCAAAGGGGAGCAUAAGAAAACGCCUGGAAAAAAGGUGGAAUCCAAUCAGGUAGAAAAUGUACAUCGUAACCAAGCAAACCUGGAGAUCACUGGCCCAAAGGUGGCAUCUCCUGGGCCACAGGGAAAAAAGCGUGACUACCAGAGUCUGGGAUGGCCCAGCCCGGACGAAUGCCUCAAACUCCGCUGGGUAGAGCUGACAGCCAUCGUGAGUACCUGGCUUGCAGUUUCUUCGAAAAACAUUGACAUCACGGAACACAUAGACUUUGCCACUCCAAUACAACAGCCAGCGAUGGAGCCUCUUUGCAAUGGUAAUCUCCCCACAAGCAUGCACACCUUGGACCACUUGCAGGGGGUUUCCAACCGAGCCAGCCUACAUUAUACGGGUGAGAGCCAGUUAACAGAGGUGUUGCAAAAUCUUGGCAAAGAUCAGUAUCCACAACAGUCACUUGAACAAAUUGGCACUCGAAUUGCCAAAGUUUUGGAAAAGAACCAGACGUCCUGGGUCCUCUCCAGCAUGGCGGCCCUCUACUGGAGGGUGAAAGGCCAAGGGAAGAAGGCAAUUGACUGCCUGCGCCAGGCCCUCCACUAUGCUCCACACCAAAUGAAGGUGAGUGGGACUCAGGGGUGGGAGUUUCCACCCCUUGGUCCUUUCCUUUGCCCGGUGGUCUACUCUGAGGUUUUGGCUCAGCCAGGAAGAAAGUGGCAAAAGGCUAAGAUGGGGCAGAAAAACUUAACAGCCCCACUCGUGCCACCACAAGCCUGUGAGUUACACCCACUCUCGUACCCUCCCUACCUCAGGCUCAGCAAGGUGGCAAUUGGGAAGAUAACUGUAAAAAACUUACAUUUAAUACCCCUUCUCCUGUAUUCAGAGCCACCCAGCAGACAGCAGACACACUGGGCUAGGCAGGCCAUCAGCCUAGAAGUCAACCGGGUUUAGCUCAUUGUGCAGGAUCCUGGCCUGUUGUACUUGUUUUGCUUAUACUUCUUUUUUUUUUUUUUAGGGCCGCCCCUUAGCAUACGGAGGUUCCCAGGCUAGGGGUCAAAUUGGAACUACAGCUUCUGGCCUACACCACCGCCACAACAACACCAGAUUUUUUUUUUUUUUUUUUUUGUCUUUUUGCUAUUUCUUUGGGCCACUUCCAUGGCAUAUGGAGGUUCCCAGGCUAGGGGUCGAAUUGGAGCUGUAGCCGCCGGCCUACGCCAGAGCCACAGCAACGAGGGAUCCGAGCCGCGUCUGCGACCUACACCACAGGUCACGGCAACGCCGGAUCUUUAACCCACUGAGCAAGGGCAGGGACCGAACCCGCAACCUCAUGGUUCCUAGUCGGAUUCAUUAACCACUGCGCCACGACGGGAACUCCCUGCUUAUACUUCUGACUGGCAUUUGCUUCCAGACAGGGAAAUAGGAGCAGAUUUCCAUUUCUUUGUAUACAUCAACCGGAUCCUGGUCUUUAACUGAAACACCCAGCUUCAAUCUUCUCCAAAAGCCAUUGUUAUGAUGACAGAGAAUGUAGUUUUUUAACAGCACAUUUGUAUCCUCAUGUACUUAGUUCUGUGUUCAUCCCCAGUCUCACACUUCCUAAAGACAUGGCUGUGUCCUCUUUGCUCACACGAGCAGUAUGUGGAAUGGUGGAAGAAGCAAGCUUCCCUGUCAGACAUUGCUGAGUUCUGCAUACACUCACUAGCUUUGUGAUCUUAGGCAAGUUAUUAAACCUCUGGGACCUCAUAUAAUGACAUGUACUCCAUGGGUGUCCAGCAGGGACAAAGAUGGGUCUUUUUUUUCUGUUUCUUCUGUAUCUCCUAUAGAAGAACCCAGUGACCUAGAGCAUUGCAAUGUAAGUAGCAGCUGCUCAGGUGAUGAAUUUAAAGGGAAUAAAUAUUUGUGAUAUUAGUAAAUAUUUGUGGUAACAAUACUGCUACUUGUUCAACCCAUGAUUCUGUGCUCUGUACUGCUAGGUAACAGGGAGGAGCCAAGACUCUAGGUCAGGGGGCAAAGAAUUUUUUUUGUAAAUGGUCAGAUAGUACAAAUUUAGGUCCUGAGGCCAGACAGCCUCUGUUGCAUCACUGAGUUCUGCCAUGAUAGCAUGAAAACAGCCACAGAAAUCCCUAAGGGAAUGGACAUGAUAUGUUCCAAUAAAAAAUUACAAGAGUAGGCGUUCCUUCAUGGCUCAGUGGGUUAAGGAGCCAGUGUUGUCACUGCUGUGGCUAUGGUUACAGCUGUGACAUAGGUUCAGUCCCUGGCGUGGGAACUUCCACAUACUGCAGGUGAGGCCAAAACAAAUAAACAAGUUACAAGAAUCAGUAGCAGGCUGGACAGGGCCUGUGGGCCAAAGCUUGCCAGCCCUGGCUUCAGAUGGUACAGCAGUCCUUGCUGAACACACUGUGGCUCUGUGGCAGCAUGCCUCAGAGUGUGGUCUGAGAACAGUGUCUGGCCUCGAACCAUUCCUUAGCAGUCCUCAGUGAGACGAGCAGCUUGCAGCAGGAUGGAAACCAGCAACCUCACUCAGCAGAUUCUUUACCCAACUGACAUUUUUGUUUUUGUCUCUUUGACUCUCUCAAUGGAAGAAGUACUGCCUGGAUGGGCCAGAGCGAGUGCCUUCCCAAUCCCAGACCCGUAGCAAACAGCAGCCCCUCCCCAUCCAGUUGCACGACUCUGUCAUUUGCCAAAACACUGACCGUAUUACUUAUGAACACCACAGCCAAGACUGAAAGCUCAGAAACCAACCUGCCUUCCCUUCUCGCAUUGUCCUUCCUCUCCCAGGACGUGCCCCUGAUCAGCCUGGCCAACAUCCUGCACAACGCCAAGCUCUGGAACGAUGCUGUCAUCGUGGCCACCAUGGCGGUGGAGAUCGCGCCUCACUUUGCUGUGAACCACUUCACGCUGGGCAAUGUCUAUGUGGCAAUGGAGGAGUUUGAAAAGGCACUGGUGUGGUACGAAUCUACACUGAAGCUGCAGCCCGAGUUUGUCCCAGCCAAGAACCGCAUCCAGACCAUCCAGUGUCACUUAAUGCUGAAGAAGGGACGGCGCUCUCCUUAGCUCACCCCUCCCUUCUCUCCCGUCUCUCUCUCUUUUCUCAUGCUCUUCAAAAAAAGAAUAAGAAACCAAUCACUGUCAGUAUCUACUUUUAAUGAUGUGUGUGAAAAUAACUGAAUUAAGUCAUAUAACAGGACUUUUACAUAUGUGGGAAUUGGUUUAAGUUCCUUCUUUCCCCCAGCCAACCUCAGAAACAUAAAUUUCUUAAAAGGAAAAUGCAGCUUAAAGAUAUUCUGUAAAUACUGAGCCAAGACACUUCUGGAGCUGUGCUCUGUCUCCGAGACCUCGUUGCCUUUAGGGCUUUUCUCCUCUUUGGCAGAGGACGAAACCGCAUUGCACGUUCUCUGCUUCCUGUCGUAGCCUCUGUGGUCGGUGGAAAUGCAAAGCCUGUCUGGUGCCCGGGCGUGCGGAGCACUGUCCUGCGCUCUGUCCGCUAGAUCUGCUGCCCCUUGGUCCUGUCCGUCCCACGCUGCUCGUUCCAAACUCUCAGAGGUAGUUUGCGGGGGAGGAAGGGGAAAUGAUUUUAAAAACAAAAUACUUACAACAGAAACUCUUAGGAUCACCUGACCUUUGUGAUGUUAUUUAUGUUGGGGAGGGAGGGGGGCUGAGAAGGGGAAAUCAGCAAUGUACAACAUCUGUAUCAUUUGUACUUUAAUUACAAGUCACAAGGAACCAAUAAGUUGAAAUCCUAUAUAACAGGUUUAUAUAUAUAGAAUAUGUAUAUUUGAAGCCCUCUACAGACUGAGUCUGUGUUUUACUAAUUCUUUGUUCACUGUGUUACCCAUCUUGGAAAAAGGCGUGAGUGUCCGCUCGCUCUCUCUGAGGCCUUCAAACGUAGCCCCUCGGGAGAGUGAUGAGCCGGGGUCGAGUGUUUCCGUACAGUGCUUAUACCUCUGGUCCCAGGAGAGUCAGAAACUCCAGACUUUUGGGAAUCUUCAAGGGCACAUACUGAGGACAAAAAUAAAAGUUGUUUAUGAAGAAAACA